rnacentral:rRNA from 1 species
UUGACGGGGACCCGCACAAGCAGCUGAGCAUGCGGAUUAAUUCGAUGCAACGCGAAGAACCUUACCAAGGCUUGACAUAUACGAGAACGCUGCAGAAAUGUAGAACUCUUUGGACACUCGUAUACAGGUGGUGCAUGGUUGUCGUCAGCUCGUGUCGUGAGAUGUUGGGUUAAGUCCCGCAACGAGCGCAACCCUCGUUCUAUGUUGCCAGCACGUAAUGGUGGGAACUCAUGGGAUACUGCCGGGGUCAACUCGAAGGAAGGUGGGGAUGACGACAAAUCAUCAUGCCCCUUAUGUCUUGGGCUUCACGCAUGCUACAAUGGCCGGUACAAAGGGCUGCAAUACCGUGAGGNGNAGCGAAUCCCAAAAAGCCGGGCCCAGUUCGGAUUGAGGUCUGCAACUCGACCUCAUGAAGUCGGAGUCGCUAGUAAUCGCAGAUCCGCAACGCUGCGGUGAAUACGUUCCCGGUCUUGUACACACCGCCCGUCAAGUCAUGAAAGGCGAUAACACCUGAAGGGGUCGACCUAACCCUUGUGGAGGGAGCCGUCGAAGGUGGGAUCCGCAUUUA